GGGGAGAUUCCCGAGUGGCCAAAGGGGUCAGACUGUAAAUCUGAUGGUUCCGCCUUCACAGGUUCGAAUCCUGUUCUCCCCACCA
rnacentral:tRNA from 1 species